rnacentral:rRNA from 1 species
AGCGAACGCUGGCGGCAGGCCUAACACAUGCAAGUCGAACGGAUCCUUCGGGAUUAGUGGCGGACGGGUGAGGAACACGUGGGAACGUGCCUUUUGGUUCGGAACAACUCAGGGAAACUUGAGCUAAUACCGGACAAGCCCUUCGGGGGAAGAUUUAUCGCCAUUAGAGCGGCCCGCGUCUGAUUAGCUAGUUGGUGAGGUAAAGGCUCACCAAGGCUACGAUCAGUAGCUGGUCUGAGAGGAUGAUCAGCCACACUGGGACUGAGACACGGCCCAGACUCCUACGGGAGGCAGCAGUGGGGAAUCUUGCGCAAUGGGCGAAAGCCUGACGCAGCCAUGCCGCGUGAAUGAUGAAGGUCUUAGAUUGUAAAGUCCUUUCGGCGGGGACGAUGAUGACGGUACCCGCAGAGAAGCCCCCGGCUAACUUCGUGCCAGCCG